UUCUCAGGAUCUGCUUCUCAUGGGGCAGACCAGACCUCGCCAUUCAUGCUUCAUCACCUUCCGACCCAGAUGCCCCCGGAGUGGAACAAGGUUGGAACCAACAGAAACUCACCUGAUUUAGAAGCUCAAGAAAAGCCUCUAUUCAAGAGUGCACAGAUUUGGGGUAGAUCCCAGUGGACGAGGGGGAGGGAAACACAGGAGUCACAAGUCCUCCAGUGUGCCUGACCACCUGACCAAGCGGCAGUGACUGACACCAUUACGCUCACUUCCUUCCCCCCCUUUGCAUUUUCUGGCUGGAGAUGAGAUGGAAGACAGACUUCGUAAUUCCUAAAAUUUUAUCUGUAUGGGUGUUUUGCUGUAUGUAUGUCUGUGGAGCUCUUGUGUAUCUGUUUCCUGGGGAGCCAUAAGAGGGUGUUGGGUCUUCUGGGACUGGAGUUACAGAUGAUUGUGAGUUGCCCAGUGGAUGCAGGGAAUGGGAUUUUUUUCUUCUGAAGGAGCAGCCAGGGCUGCUCACUGCUGACGCAUCUCUCCAGCCCUAAAAACAGACCCCAA
rnacentral:lncRNA from 1 species